GUAGGUGGCGGUAAUGAACCUGAAGUCUGUUUGUAGCCAUGAAGAAGCACUGAGUGAAGUCAGGCACUGGUGAACAGUGAAGGAAGAUGAGAUUGAGCUUGUUGGACAGAAGGAUGGGGGACGCUCGGUGCUCCUGCAGCCCAGAAUCGUGCACGUCGGCUGGGAAGGAGAUGCUGGGCUCCUGGGAGCUGGACGGAGCGAAGGAUGGACUGUAGCCUGGGAGAUACAAAGAGACACGUCAGAAACAGAUGGUCUGGUCGGUUCCAUAGAAGCCAGAAGCUUCCUGGGAGGCGUCGGCCGCUCCAGUCCCACCGAGGAGCUCCGUCUCUGGGUCAGCGGAGUCUGGCUGCCCCCUGAAGCCUCCUUCAUCCAGGGGAACCGCCAGAUGAACCUUCCGCUGGAAGAGGAGAGAAAUG
ensembl:lncRNA